GGACCCCCCCACAGGGUCCUGCUUGAGCUAGUCAGACUAAGCAAAAGCAAUAGAAGACAAAGGUUAAAGUAAAAGGAACAGAACCAGUACGGAGUCAGAUUUGUUCUUCCUGAUUACAGACUGCGCUUCUGCAAUGGGCCCUGGAGAAACCAGGAUCUUGCCUUCUGGUCUGCGAGGAAAUGGUGGCGAAAGGCAGAGGCAUGGAGAAGUGAAGAAACUUGUCCAAGGUCAGGCAGCUAGGUAUAAACUCCAUGAGGCCAGACAAUUUUGACUGCUGUUUGACUACUGGAAUCCAUGGACCUAGAUUAGCUCCUACAUCAUAAUGGUCACAUUCCUGGGAGCAGUGUUUCUGGGUGUUCCUGGCUUAAGGUGUCUUCAUGAGGUUGCAGUCAAUACAUCAGCUGGG